GACGAACGCUGGCGGCGUGCUUAACACAUGCCAGUUGAACGAGAAUUUUUCGAGUGAUUUCUUCGGAAUGAUCAUGAAAAAGGAAAGUAGCGAACGGGUGAGUAACACGUGAGAAACCUGCCUUUCACAAAGGGAUAGCCUCGGGAAACCGGGAUUAAUACCUUAUGAAACCAAACACUCGCAUGAGAGAUUGGUUAAAGAUUUAUCGGUGUUAGAUGGUCUCGCGUCUGAUUAGCUAGUUGGUGGGAUAAAAGCCUACCAAGGCAACGAUCAGUAGCCGGAUUGAGAGGUUGAACGGCCACACUGGAACUGAGACACGGUCCAGACUCCUACGGGAGGCAGCAGUGGGGAAUUUUGCACAAUGGAGGAAACUCUGAUGCAGCGACGCCGCGUGAGUGAUGAAGGUCUUCGGAUUGUAAAACUCUGUCCUGAGUGAAGAUAAUGACAGUAACUAAGAAGCAAGCCCUGGCUAAAUACGUG
rnacentral:rRNA from 1 species